rnacentral:rRNA from 1 species
GACGAACGCUGGCGGCGUGCUUAACACAUGCAAGUCGAACGGAAAGGCCCAGCUUGCUGGGUACUCGAGUGGCGAACGGGUGAGUAACACGUGGGUGAUCUGCCCUGCACUCUGGGAUAAGCCUGGGAAACUGGGUCUAAUACCGGAUAUAACCGACUGUCGCAGGGUGGUUGGUGGAAAGCUUUUGCGGUGUGGGAUGGGCCCGCGGCCUAUCAGCUUGUUGGUGGGGUAAUGGCCUACCAAGGCGACGACGGGUAGCCGACCUGAGAGGGUGAUCGGCCACACUGGGACUGAGACACGGCCCAGACUCCUACGGGAGGCAGCAGUGGGGAAUAUUGCACAAUGGGCGCAAGCCUGAUGCAGCGACGCCGCGUGAGGGAUGACGGCCUUCGGGUUGUAAACCUCUUUCACCAGGGACGAAGCGUGAGUGACGGUACCUGGAGAAGAAGCACCGGCCAACUACGUG